CUCCCCCAGCGUCUGGCUCGAUUUUCUCGACCGCCGCGAUCUCCCAAUGCCUUCGUGGCCUCCACUCCCUCUCUUCCUAGCAUCUCCAGUCCCAUAGCCAUGAUGGAGUACGACCAUCCCUUUCCUGGUCCAUGGUCGUCGGUACUGUCCACAUGCCCAUCCUCGAUGAAGCCAUCUCCUCCACACUCGACGAGGGUUCCGACCAACCUCCAUUUGAGAUAUGUGCACAUGAUUCUUUCUGCUCUGCUACGUGG
rnacentral:lncRNA from 1 species